rnacentral:rRNA from 1 species
CCUACGGGGGGCAGCAGUGAGGAAUAUUGGUCAAUGGCCGUAAGGCUGAACCAGCCAAGUCGCGUGAAGGAAGAAGGAUCUAUGGUUUGUAAACUUCUUUUAUAGGGGAUUAAAGGUAUCCACGUGUGGAUAUUUGCAUGUACCCUAUGAAUAAGCAUCGGCUAACUACGUGCCAGCAGCCGCGGUAAUACGUAGGGAGCAAGCGUUAUCCGGAUUUAUUGGGUGUAAAGGGUGCGUAGACGGAGAAGCAAGUUAGUUGUGAAAUCCCUCGGCUUAACUGAGGAACUGCAACUAAAACUACUUCCCUUGAGUACUGGAGAGGAAAGUGGAAUUCCUAGUGUAGCGGUGAAAUGCGUAGAUAUUAGGAGGAACACCAGUGGCGAAGGCGACUUUCUGGACAGUAACUGACGUUGAGGCACGAAAGUGUGGGGAGCAAACAGGAUUAGAUACCCGGGUAGUC